ensembl:lincRNA
CCCCCCCCCCCCCGCGGGCGCCGCCGAGGGGCCGGGGUGGGCGGAAGGGGAGGGAGUGCGAGCCAGAGCCCGGACUUAGGAAAAUUUUCGAAAAGAAGUGAGAGACAUAGAGAGAGCUAGAGAGCAGGGAAGUGUGGAAAAAGCGAGGCGAGCACGAACCAAAGGACAGAGCAACCGAAAAGGAAAAUGUGUCCAAACACACAUACACAAAUACUCAAUAAAACUCCACACUACACAGCGAUGGUGGUGUCUGGGGGUGGGGGCGAGGGUCUGACUUAGAUGAGCCGUUCCUCGCGCCCCCGGCGACGGGCGCCAGGGCCGGACCCAAAGGCACCCGAGGCCCCGGAGUGCCCUCGUCUUCUGCGCUUGGCCGGGCCGCCCACGAAGGAGAAGAAGGCGCAGCCCAGGAACAUUCGGAAGCAGCAGGUCGCCCCGAAAAAGAAGCCGCAGCCGCGGCCCUCGUCCGGGCUUGGGUGCAGCAGAAAGUCCGGCACCCACGCGGGGUUGCGCACGGAGAAGACGAGGAAGGUCAGCAGCGGCAGGUGGGAGAUGCCGCUUUUCCCUGGAAGCCCUGUAUGAUGCUGCCCGGGGGCUCCUCUCCAGAGCUGCCAAGAAUUCUGGGCACCCAGGCAAACGGUUGAUUCAUUAAAACAAAAAAAAUAAUCCACCCAGAUUGUUGACCUGGUUCCCUGAUUCGACAUGGUCUCAGCACACUGUCUUCACAUUUUAUUUUGGGGGCAGGCUAAGUGUCCCAGGUGUGAGGGGGUUUGGGAUGUCAUGGCCCUGAGCCAUCUGCCUGCUUCCUCCUACCCAUGUUCAUUUCCAUGCCCGAUGGGGAGCCCAUUCACAUCAGUUGGACCUGCAGAUUCUGACAGCAGCUGGGCAGACAGCUGAUAUUUUAUUUUCAAUUAAAAUACAGUAUUUGAGUUACAAGCGACUGAGGUUCCCAGGGUCUGUUUUGCUUACCUGGGGAGCCACUGCUUACAAGGAAUUUGGGGCCAUGCUUAUUGAUUCUGCUUGUGGUUUGGACAGAAACAAGAAACAGAUGGGAGGGCAUUUAGCAUGGCCCCUGACAUAUUCUGAGCACUCAACACACGCUAGUGUCUUUCGUUUUGUCAAAGUACAUGCUUAAAUACCCCUUGGGCAGUUUGUUUUGUAUUCAUUCAUGCUCCAUGUCUCUGAGCAUUUGGUGUGGGGAUGGCGGUGAGCGGGGUGCUUUGUGUGCCAGGCAAGGUGCUGAGCACUGAAGUUCAGUUCAGUUCAGUCACUCAGUCAUGUCCAACUCUUUGCGAUCCCAUGAAUCACAGCACGCCAGGCCUCCCUGUCCAUCACCAACUCCCGGAGUUCACUCAGACUCACGUCCAUCGAGUCAGUGAUGCAAUCCAGCCAUCUCAUCCUUUGUUGUCCCCUUCUCCUCCUGCCCCCAGUCCCUCCCAGAAUCAGAGUCUUUUCCAAUGAGUCAACUCUUCGCAUCAGGUGGCCAAAGUACUGGAGCUUCAGCUUUAGCAUCAUUCAUUCCAAAGAAAUCCCAGGGCUGAUCUCCUUCAGAAUGGACUGGCUGGAUCUCCUUGCAGUCCAAGGGACUCUCAAGAGUCUUCUCCAACACCACAG